GAUGAACGCUGGCGGCGUGCUUAACACAUGCAAGUCGAACGAAGCACUUUAUUUGAUUUCCUUCGGGACUGAUUAUUUUGUGACUGAGUGGCGGACGAGUGAGUAACGCGUGGGUAACCUGCCUUGUACAGGGGGAUAACAGUUGGAAACGGCUGCUAAUACCGCAUAAGCGCACAGCAUCGCAUGAUGCAGUGUGAAAAACUCCGGUGGUAUAAGAUGGACCCGCGUUGGAUUAGCUAGUUGGUGAGGUAGCGGCCCACCAAGGCGACGAUCCAUAGCCGACCUGAGAGGGUGACCGGCCACAUUGGGACUGAGACACGGCCCAAACUCCUACGGGAGGCAGCAGUGGGGAAUAUUGCACAAUGGGCGAAAGCCUGAUGCAGCGACGCCGCGUGAGCGAAGAAGUAUUUCGGUAUGUAAAGCUCUAUCAGCAGGGAAGAUAAUGACGGUACCUGACGAAGAAGCACCGGCUAAAUACGUG
rnacentral:rRNA from 1 species